AUCUCAAUCCAUGACACCUUCUCUAGGACACUUUAGUAAAGCAUGCAGAAAAAUUGAGGGAAAUUAAAUCAGCUCAAAGGUUAUUGUUCAUUUUGAGACCAAAUUGUGGGCAAUCAAUCAAUUGGAGAGUUUCUGUACCUAAAAUAAAAGAAGCAAACCAUUGGACUGCUAUCAUAGAAAAGGUAAGAAACAGCUUAAGUCUCCAAGUCAAAAUAUUUUACAACUGCGUCUUCAUGUCUACCAUGGGUAUAUGUGCUAAUUAUAAGACGGAAAUCUCAUCUUUCUUGUAUGAAUAGAUGACAUAGAUAAUCAUAUCUUCAAGAGAAGAAGUUAAUUGAAAAGGAUAUUCAGGUCAGAAACACUCUAAGACAAAAAGUGUUAGUCCAUUCAAUUAUUCAUGUAAUUUUUCCUCACUUCAUCAUUAACAAGUGCUCAGCAAAUUUAUGAAGCAAUGCACCAUCAUAACGCUAAGGAUGUAUAAAUGGAAACCUAAGAAAGUACCCCAUGUAGAACAUCUCUCACUAUUUUCUCCAUUGUUACUAAAUAAAGGGGUGAGGAUUUACAAGGUACACAUCAAUGAUCUGAUCAAUUUCAAUCUUGGUAGAUGAUGCUUGCAGAGUGCAGCAUGAAGCAACUUGAUAAUACCACAGAGGUGAAAAGGCCUGAAUGGAUCAAGACAGUAGAAUCAUAAUAGCAUUUGCAGGGAUAUUUGCUAAAUAUUCAGGAAAAGGUAGUCGAAAACUACUCUUUUGGUUGAAUUUCCAAAUGAAUCAAAAUAAUCACUCACCUUUGUAACUAUAUAUAAUCAUACAAAAAAUUGCACCUCAAAUAAUAAUAUGAAUUAUGAGAUGAGCUAGCUUGUAUAAUCCAAUUAAUGAACACUUAAUUCGCUUCAAAUUUUAAGUCCACGUAGCUUGAAAUCUAUACAAAACAAUUCAGUAUUCACACAAAUAACAAACACCCAGAACUAAAAAUUCAAUCUUCUGGCAUAAAAUUUUAAGAAAAGGUAGAACCAAAAUAUCGCCUCAAAAUAACUGAAAUUACCCAGUUCACACUAAUAUCAGUAAUACCUCAACUACAUAUAAGAGAGAGGGAAGGAGAGAGGCUUACAGAGAGAGGAGUAAAUUUGCCGAGAAAUGGCGAAGGCUUGCAGUAGCUCAGUACUGCUGCCAUGGCCACACACUGCUCCGAUUGAUUCGAUUGCUCCCU
rnacentral:misc_RNA from 1 species